AUUGAACGCUGGCGGCAGGCUUAACACAUGCAAGUCGAGCGGAGAUGAGGUGCUUGCACCUUAUCUUAGCGGCGGACGGGUGAGUAAUGCUUAGGAAUCUGCCUAUUAGUGGGGGACAACAUUCCGAAAGGAAUGCUAAUACCGCAUACGUCCUACGGGAGACAGCAGGUGAUCUUCGGACCUUGCGCUAAUAGAUGAGCCUAAGUCGGAUUAGCAAGUUGGGGGGGUAAAGGCCUACCAAGGCGACGAUCUGUAGCGGGUCUGAGAGGAUGAUCCGCCACACUGGGACUGAGACACGGCCCAGACUCCUACGGGAGGCAGCAGUGGGGAAUAUUGGACAAUGGGGGGAACCCUGAUCCAGCCAUGCCGCGUGUGUGAAGAAGGCCUUAUGGUUGUAAAACACUUUAAGCGAGGAGGAGGCUACUGAGACUAAUACUCUUGGAUAGUGGACGUUACUCGCAGAAUAAGCACCGGCUAACUCUGUGCCAGCCGCCGCCGUAAAAC
rnacentral:rRNA from 1 species